UAACCAUGAAAGUAAAAACUGAGAGAAAAUAAGAGAAAAUGUGAGAAAAUUGUAAUUGCAUUGACGGUGGAUCUAAUCGAAUGAAAUGGUUCGUGCAUCAGUAAAAGUCGGUUCCGCGAAAUUGGUAGUGAUUUGCGUUGGUCUUCUAGGGUUUGCUCUCAUUGCAGAUUUUCUGUGGGCUUCUUCUUCAUCUCCUUCUUCAUCAUCUUUCUCUGUUUUCGAUUCCAAAGCUUCCACAAUCAUUGUUCCUACCAAAGAGAAGAAUAAGAAAGAGAAAGAGAAAGAGAAGAAGAAUGGUAGUAGUAGUAGUAGUGGAAGAUUGCUUGCAGAUGCUUAUGCCGAUUUGGCUGGUCCACAACUCAAUUGGGAAAAGAUGGAAACUUCACCUGUUCCUCGUCUUGAUGGUGCUGCUAUUCAGAUUCGAAAUCGUCUCUUUGUUUUUGCUGGUUAUGGCACCAUUGAUUUGGUGCAUUCUCAUGUUGAUAUAUAUAAUUUUGAUGACGGAACUUGGGGAGGAAGAUUUGAUAUGCCGAAAGAAAUGGCGCAUUCACAUUUGGGAAUGGUGACAGAUGGAAGAUACAUUUAUAUAGUCACUGGGCAGUAUGGCCCUCAAUGUAGAGGUCCCACCGCACGCAACUUUGUGCUUGACACUGAAACAAAGCAAUGGAAGGAUCUCCCUUCUUUGCCAGUCCCUAGAUAUGCACCAGCAACUCAACUUUGGAGAGGUAGAUUGCAUGUGAUGGGUGGAAGUAAGGAGAAUCGACAUACGCCUGGAUUAGAACAUUGGAGUCUUGCUGUGAAGGAUGGAAAAGCAUUAGAAAAAGAGUGGAGAAGUGAAAUACCCAUUCCCCGUGGAGGACCUCACAGGGCUUGUGUUGUGGCCAAUGAUCGUCUCUAUGUUAUUGGUGGUCAAGAAGGCGAUUUUAUGGCCAAACCCGGGUCACCUAUUUUUAAGUGCUCGCGUCGGAUGGAGGUGGUCUAUACUGAUGUUUACAUGUUGGAUGACGAGAUGAAGUGGAAAACGCUGCCUCCAAUGCCAAAACCAAACUCACAUAUCGAAUUUGCGUGGGCGCUUGUAAACAAUUCCAUUGUUAUUGUUGGUGGCACGACAGAGAAGCACCCUGAAACCAAGAAAAUGGUUUUAAACGGGGAAGUGCUGCAGUUUAACUUAAAUACUUUGUGGUUGGACUCAAGUGGUUAAUAAAUUUCAAUUAAGGAUGAAUUGCUUACUUACCUCCCAGUCAUUUUUUGGAUUACCAGGGCUCCUUUCCUUGAGAAUCAGAAGAAGUGGUCAGUGAUUGGAAAAUUACCAUACCGGGUGAAAACGACUUUAGUUGGAUUUUGGAAAGGAUGGCUGUACUUCACUUCAGGACAGAGAGACAAAGGACCUGAUGAUCCAUCACCAAAAAAGGUCAUUGGGGAUAUGUGGAGAACAAAAUUAAAAUUGAAUGAGUGAGCAAUGGCUGUGGAAUCAUUUUGUAGAUUCUUUGUUUAACUAUCCAAAAUUGCAGCAGAGGCGAAGAGGCCAAAAUAUUACAUAUUCUUUGUCCCUAGAAUAUUCAUUGUUGUAAUUUAUUGAGAAUGACUGAUUCAAUUCAACAUUAAUAGUUGCUGUCACAUUAUACAAAAGGAAAAUUUACACUCGCAUUUCUUGAGGUAUGCUUACAUGACACACUCACUUCCUUUACCCUGUAAAAGACAUUGACAUCAUCAUAAUUAUAUAAAAAUAGAGAUCUAUGUGUUAUUUAAACAGAGGUGUGUGCAACUUUUUCAGCAAUUAAGGGUGGUGAGUGUUCAUGUAAACAAUAGUAGUGUGUGCACUAUUGAUAAACUUUUGUACUGCAGGAGUCUAUCUAUUGAAGUAAAUAUAUGAAUUAAUUUUCAAGUUGGCAGCAAGAAA